UACGUAGGGAGCAAGCGUUGUUCGGAUUUACUGGGCGUAAAGCGCACGUAGGCGGAUUGUUAAGUCGGGGGUGAAAUCCUGGAGCUCAACUCCAGAACUGCCUUCGAUACUGGCGAUCUCGAGUUCGGGAGAGGUGAGUGGAACUGCGAGUGUAGAGGUGAAAUUCGUAGAUAUCGGGAGGAACACCGGUGGCGAAGGCGGCGACCUGGGUAGAUACUGACGCUGAGGCGCGAAAGCGUGGGGAGCAAACAGG
rnacentral:rRNA from 1 species